rnacentral:rRNA from 1 species
AUUGAACGCUGGCGGCAUGCUUUACACAUGCAAGUCGAACGGCAGCGCGGGCUUCGGCCUGGCGGCGAGUGGCGAACGGGUGAGUAAUACAUCGGAACGUGCCCCGUAGUGGGGGAUAGCUCGGCGAAAGCCGGAUUAAUACCGCAUCCGACCUGAGGGUGAAAGCGGGGGAUCUUCGGACCUCGCGCUAUUGGAGCGGCCGAUGGCAGAUUAGCUAGUUGGUGGGGUAAAGGCCUACCAAGGCGACGAUCUGUAGCUGGUCUGAGAGGACGACCAGCCACACUGGGACUGAGACACGGCCCAGACUCCUGCGGGAGGCAGCAGUGGGGAAUUUUGGACAAUGGGCGAAAGCCUGAUCCAGCAAUGCCGCGUGUGUGAUGAAGGCCUUCGGGUUGUAAAGCACUUUUGGCGGGAACGAAAAGGACUGUGCCAAUACCACGGUUCGAUGACGGUACCCGCAGAAUAAGCACCGGCUAACUACGUG